UCGCGUCGCGGUGUGAUGACGUCAAGACACAGGCCAGGCGAGGCGCGUUUGGCGUGCGCGGCAGCGUCUGGGCGUUUUGGUCACGGGUCUUGCGCUGAGUGGGAGGCGUGCUUCAGAGCGGAAUGUUACCUGCAGCUGUAGCUGGAGAUAAAGAAGAGGAACUAGCCGAGGAGGAUUGUCCUGAAUUGGUUCCCAUUGAGACGAAGCACAGAGAGGAAGAGGAAAAGCUUGGCCCCGGCGCUAAGAUCCCAGUCACAAUUAUCACCGGGUAUUUAGGUGCUGGGAAGACAACACUACUGAACUACAUUUUAACAGAGCAACAUAGUAAAAGAAUAGCAGUUAUUUUAAAUGAAUUUGGUGAAGGAAGUGCAGUAGAGAAAUCCUUAGCUGUGAGUCAAGGUGGGGAGCUCUAUGAAGAGUGGCUGGAACUUGGAAAUGGUUGCCUCUGCUGUUCAGUGAAGGACAGUGGCCUUAGGGCUAUUGAGAAUUUGAUGCAGAAGAAGGGGAAAUUUGAUUACAUACUGUUAGAGACCACUGGAUUAGCAGAUCCUGGUGCUGUGGCUUCUAUAUUUUGGGUUGAUGCUGAACUAGGGAGUGAUAUUUAUCUUGAUGGUAUCAUAACUGUGGUAGAUUCAAAAUAUGGAUUAAAACAUUUAACAGAAGAAAAACCUGAUGGUCUCAUUAAUGAAGCUACUAGGCAAGUUGCUUUAGCAGAUAUCAUCCUCAUCAAUAAAACAGACUUGAUUUCAGAAGAGGAGUUAAACAAACUAAGAGCAAUCAUUAGAUCAAUAAAUGGACUGGGAAAAAUUUUAGAAACACAAAGAUCCAGAGUUGAUCUCACUAACAUAUUAGAUCUUCAUGCCUUUGAUAGUCUCUCUGGAAUAAGUUUUCAGGAAAAACUGCAGCAUGUGCCAACAGCACAACCUCAUCUUGAUCGGAGUAUUGUUACAAUCACAUUCGAAGUACCAGGAAAUGUAAAGGAAGAAAGUCUAAAUGUAUUUAUUCAGAAUCUCCUGUGGGAAAAGAAUGUGAGAAACAAGGACGGUCACUGCAUGGAGGUCAUACGGCUAAAGGGACUGGUGUCAAUCACAGAUAAACCACAGCAAGUGAUUGUCCAAGGUGUCCAUGAACUCUAUGACCUGGAAGAGACUCCAGUGAGCUGGACUGAUGAUACUGAGAGAACAAAUCGAUUGGUAUUUAUUGAUCCUAGAUCAGUGCUCGGCCCCUAGUGGGUGCUUAAUGAAGAGCUUCUGAAUGAAAAAUGCAGAACAAGAAGACAGGAGGAAGCGACUGUAUGAAGAACACUGGGCGGAGAGAAUAAGAAAGCAAGGGCCUGGCUCCUUAGGGGACUCCCUGUCGGAACAGAAGUCUAAGGCGUCCAGAAGCGUCCUGCAAGCAAGUGGGGUGGAGCUGGCGGAUGCCCGCCACCCGGCUCUACAGACAGGAGGAGGAAGAACUUCGCCUGCUGAGCCUCCAGGUCACUUCUGGCCUUUUUUCCUGAGCUGUGUAGAGUGUUCCAUACCGUUUUUCUUUUCACCUGUCUCUUCCUCUGCAUUUCUAGCUGUUGCAUAAGUUUAUGGCUCAGUGAGAAGUGAAAUUAUAUAUAGAUUGCAGCAGUUUCCCCAUAUGUGGGCCACCUUUCUGAAGAAAAGCCAUUUAACUAACUCAAAUUAUUAGCAAAUUAAGGAAGUUUGCACCUUUGAUGUAAUUUCAGUGUUGUGAAAUAAAAUGUGUAUUAGUUCCCUGGGGUGAAAAUUAUAAUAGUAUUUUUUAGACUGUCACUUUUUCCCCUUGUACUCAAGAUUGAACCCACGGCCUCCACACUGAGCUAUUCUUCUAGUCCCUUUUCACUUAUUUUGAGUCAGGGUCUUAGCUGCUAAAUUUUGCAGGCUGGGUUUGAACUCUUAAUUCUCCUGCCGUAGCCUCCCAGAGUGCUGAGAUUACAGGUCUGUGCCACCGUCUCCAGCAGCUGUCACCUCUUUUACUCCAUCCAGUUCUUUUCUUAACCACUGGUUCUUCCCUGGAUGCUUGUUAAAAUAAUAGUCUCGGCUUUCUUGCUUUUUGAAAAUGAUUCUGCGAGUUUUGGAAAGUGAUACAUAUUCUUGAAACUCAGAUGCCAUAUUUGGCCAAAAAAGCAUCCUUUGUAAAGUCAGGAAGAGUUCAAUUAGUUCACCAAAAAGCCAGGCGAACUGGAACGGUGGAACUUGGGAGGAACAUGAGGUCUUAAUUCUCCUUUAAUUUCUAAAUCCUCUCUGUUAAGAUAUGAUACUCAAAGUUAUUGAGUCUUCCGGCACUUUAGCUACUAUAUAUGUGUAAGGGUAUUAUGUUAUUUCAUAAGGUAAGAAAGUAGAGGAAUAAAGUUGAGAUCUCAGUGCCAGACUGAAGGGUUUUGAGUUUGUUCUUUGUGAAGAACUAUGCAAGAAAGGUACAUAAAGAAAGAAUGCUAGAGAUUAUCUAGUGCCUGUUCCUUACCUGAGAGCACUGCGGUCCAGGCCCACACAGCACAGAACAGUUGUGACCAACACAGACGCUGAGGACCAAGCAGGCAGUAGUGGUAACUCCACUGGUGGGCAGGAGCCAGAGCACCAUGCUUGGGGAAGGAAAGUUCCUGACACCAGCUCCAUUUCUGGGACUACAAAGGUUUAGGGGACAUCAGAAGAACUAAGGGAGAAGCCGAAGUAGAAGUUACGCUUUGCCUAAAGUCUGAGAGUGGUGAGGAAGGAGAAUUGGUGGAACAGUAGACAUGUAAAGAGAUGGAAGGGAGUGAGAGCUUGUGUCAGAAAAGCAAAUCAAGGCAGUAGAAAAUUUGACAAGGAGGAAGGGGAGGGGGAGGAGAAGGUAAGCCAGGGCUCAGAGUUUCGCCAUUGCAGUUGUUCAUGGUCUGAGAUCAUGGCUUCCUAUUUUACUGCUGCAAGAGGUCCUGGGCUACAAGAGGUUCAGGGUUAAAGGGAGAGAAAACAUGGCAGGUGACGUCUGCCAGAGCCCUCCAGAAGCUGGCUGAAGACCAAGGAAGGGAAGGAGAGGGAGGACAGGCUUUUGUGGGGUGAACAAGCUAAAGUUUAUUCUUUUAGGAGAAGGGAGAUAUGGGAAUCUUUAUUAUAGUUAUUAUUUGGCUUGGGUUAAUGAGCUAAUCUUGCAUAAAGAUAUUAAAGUUUUCCUUUUAUCUUUGAGUUUCAAGACUUUCAUCUUUAAACAGGGUUAAAAAUAUCUAUUUUGUAGGCUAAUGAGGAUGAAAUGGGAAAACAUUUGAUGAUGCUUGGUAUAGUACUUGGCAAAUGUACAAUAAGUGGUAAUUUUAAAAUUUUUUUCUUAUUAAAUUUAUUGGUACAAUUUGGAUAGACAUAAUAAUCACAUGCAUCAUAUGGAAUUUGUAUCUGUAUAUGAUAUAGCCUGGUUCCUCCUGAUACAUGGUAAUUACUUUAAAUAUUUUAUUACUACUAAUGUACUUAUUUCAUAAUCUUGUACCCAAGGAUAGUGUUAUUGACAUUUACAUCUCAUCUAAUGUUAUUUUACAUUCUUUUUCUUAUUAGUGUGAGAACCGAAUCUAGCACGUACCGUGCAAGCAUUGUACCACUGAGCGAUGGACCCUGCCUUGCUAUCCCUUAUCAUUUAUGGGCUAAGUUAAGCAAUACCAUUUCAAAUUUUGAAAAACUGAGCUCAUAACAUGCCCAAAGAAGCAUUCUUUGUAUCUCUCUAGUACAUAUGGAUAUUAUACAUUUUAAUUAAGUGUUAUUACCUGAGCCAAAUUCCCCUCUCAUGGGUGUCGGUUUAGAUUUAUUACUUACAUCUGCAAAAGGAGACGGAAGAAUAACAGGAAACGUUGAUAAGCAAUUCCACCAUUUUUCAUUUUGAUCUGAUGCAUCCUGUCAUCCAAGAUGGAGGUAAAUUUCCUUAUAAACACUUUUCUUAGGCUGGAAUGAUCUCAAGCAAGAAUAUACUGUAGAAGAAAGAGAGGGGCUUUGAACAGAGGGACAGUGGUAAUGUGGUAUGAGCUGAGGAGUGAGAAUUUUAAAAAGCAAGAAGUUGGUCUCUUCUGUUUCUGUAAAAUCAGCCUGCUGCAAAAGCCAAAAACAUUCAGGCAAAUAUGGUGUCCUGUUCACAAUAUUGCUGUCGGAGACUCCUCACAGCAGACUGGGUGACUUCUUGGGUCUCACACAGGGGCUGUGGCCCAGCUGAAUGUCAGAACAGGACCCUGGCUGCUUCGGGGCUCCAGGGGCCCGGGGCCCUUCUGCACUGAAGCAGCCUGCCUGUGUUGGAUCCGAGGCUGACUCGCCUUGGGGUGAUAAGGUGGGGUGUUUUAAAAAUUACUUAGGCCCAGCCAGGCCCUAGACCCUUAUCGCACACUCUCUAGGGACGGAGCCCAGGCAUCAGUAUUGUUUAAAGUCUUCCCGAUGGUUGGAAUGUGCCACCAAGUUAGAGAACUGGCACUCUGGAGCAGCAUUCCUCAGACUUGGAUCUUGUCAAAAUGCAGACCCAGACUGAGUAAGCCUAGGGUGCUGUUCACAAACGUUCCCAGGGAGCCUGGUGCUUCUUGGCUGCUAGCCAGCCCGGAGAGGGGAGACUCUGAAGGGCAGGGGGAGGAGCGUGAGCUUAAGGCUCACAGUCGUCUCCUGGUCAGGGAUCAUCUAGCUGCCACCUCCGUGCCCUGGGCCCACAUUUUUUGGGGUUUUUGAGACAGGUUGUCACCAUGGAGUUCAGACUGUCCUUGAACUCAUUAUGUAGCCCAGACUGGCCUCACGCUGGUGGUAAUCCCCCUGCCCCAGUACCUUGAGUGCUGACAUCAGAGGCCUGUGCCACCAUCCCUGGAAGCCUUUUUUUAUUCGUGCAUACUUGUGACACAUACUUUCACUGUGGGUGUUUGGUACAUGUGCCUGACACCUCUUAAUUCCUUUUUACAUCCUUUUUCCCUCCCUUCUUCCUGCUUUUCUCUGUCUCCUAGACCCACUCCUUCCCUUUUAUGAAAAAUCCACCUGUUUCCUUUUAUCUGUUUUUUCCACUUUGUUUAGACUUUUGAUUUCUCAUAUGAGAGGAAUUAUACAGUAUUUAAGCUUCUGUGUCUGAUUUACUUCACUUAAUGUUAGGUUUUAUCAUGCAUCCAUUUUUCUAUAAAUGACUGGAAUUUAUCUGUCUUUAUUUCAUUAGGUACAAAUACCACAUUUUAUAAUCUGCCUGUUGGUGGACAUACAGGCUGCUUCCAUGAUAUACUUACUGUGAAUUGUGGCCUACAAACAUUGAUAUGCGUGUUUUGCCAUAAUAUUAUGUCUUUAACUCUUUCUAGAAGAUACCAAGUAGAGGAAUAGCUGAACAAAUGAAAUUUCUAUUUUUAAUAUUUUUUUUUGAGGAAUUUCCACAUUGAUUUUCAUGCCGGUUGUACUAGUUUAAAUUCCCACCAGCAAUGUAAAAGUUUUUUUUUUUUUUUUUUUUUCACUACAGCCUCACCAGAAUUUGUUAUUUGAUUCCUUGACGAUAGCCAUUCUUUCAAGAAUAAGAUGGAAACUCAGUGUUGUUUUAAUUUGCAUUUCUCUAAUGGUUAGCAAUGUUGAACAUUUUUCAGGUAUUUAUUGGCAUUUUGUACUUUUCCUGAGAAGAGUCAAAUAAUUUUUAGUGCCCAUUUUUUAUUGGUUCUUUUAUUUUGGAGGGUCUUUUUUUUGAGUUCUUUCUAAAUUCUAGGUAUUAGUCCUUUGUCCAAGGUAUAUUUGAAAAAAAUCUUUUUCCCAUUCUGUAGUGAUCCGGCCUGCAGAUCGAUCCAUGGGGUGUACCUGGAGGGGGAACGGGGAUUAAAUAAACACAUGGGGACAGAGACUGAGGCAAGUCGAGAGAAUCCGAUCAAGCCCCGUUUAUUCCGGAAGUGAUCACGUCUUUUAUAGGCCAAGGGCGGGCUGGUGGGAAAGGAAGAGGCUACGGGGAUGAAUACAACAGGGUCAUCAAGCUGGAGAGGAUUAUGGUUAAUGUAGGCAGACGCAUUGUGCCUAUAGGAGAGAGAGAGAGACAGGGAGGCAGCAAUGGGGCUGUCGUGCGGCUCCCUACACCGUAGGUUAUCAUUUUACUCUGUUAGCUGUUUACUUUGCUGUGCAGAGAUUUUAGAUUUUUUAUAAUCCCCAUUUCUUGACUCAUGGAGUUAUUUUUUGUGCAGUUAGAGUUCUAUUCAGAAAGUUUUUGCCUAUUCAUAGGACCUAUUAUUACCUAUUUUGACUUAUUUUAAUCUUUCAGCAAACUGAGCAUUUCUGUGUUAAUAGUUAGAGCUUUGAUCCAUUUUGACUUUAUUUUGGUACUGGUGAAAGAUAGAACUCUACCUUCUGUUUUCUGCAUGUGGAUAGCCAGUUUUCUCAACACAUUACUAUACAGGCUGUCUGUCCUCCAGUGUAUGUUUUUGCCAGUGAUCACGUGGCCAAAUGUGUCUUGGGCUUUGCUGCAUCCUGUUUUCUGCUCCACUGAUUCACAAGUGUGUUUCUGUGCCAGUGCCAUACUGUUUCUAUGAAUUAGCUUGGUAAUAUAACUUGAAAUUCUGGAUUGUGAUGCUUCCUGCUUUGCUCUUGUUCCCAGGGUUGCUUUUGCUCUUCCGGGUGUCUUCUGGUUCCAGAUGAAUUUUAGGACUGUUCUUUUCUACUUGGGUGAGGAAUGCUGUUAGUAUUGUGGUUAAUAUUGAAUUACAUCUCUGAAUCUAUUGUCUAUUUUGACAAUACUGGUUCUGCCUACCAGGAAUAGGGAAUAUCUUUUCAUUUUCUGAUAUCUUCUUCAAUCACCUUUUCAGUCUCUAUAGUUUUUAUUAUAGAGGUCUUUCACUGUUUUGAUUAGAUUAAUUCCCAAGUAUUUAAUUUUUCUUGAUGCUAUGAGAAUGACAUUGCUGUACAGAUCUAUUUCUCAGGAAGUUAAUUACUACUGUACAGGAAUGCUACUGAUUUUCAUGUGUUGAUUUUUAUCCUGCUACAUUGCUGAAAUUGGUUAUUAACUCUAGAUGUCUUUCAGUGAAAUUUUCUUCUUCUAUGUAAAAGAUCAUGUUAUCAAAUAAUGAUAAUCUGAUCUCUUCUUUUCCUAUACAUAUCCAUUUUCCCUGUUUCUUUUGCCUCACUGCUCUGGCUAGUGUUUUGAGUUCUGUGUUGAACAGGAGUGGUGAUAGUGGACAUCCUUGUCCUGUUCCUGAUCUUAGAGGACAAGCUAUCAGCUUGUCCCCAUUUAAUAUGAUGACUGUGGUAAGUUUAUUAUAAAUGGCUUUUGCCAGAUUGAGGUAGGCUAUACUUAUGUUCUUUAGGAUUUUGUCGUAAGAAUAGGUACUGGAUUUUGUCAAAAGCUUUUUAUGUAGCUAUUGAUAUGAUCACAUGAUUUGCAUCCUUACUUCUCUUUAUGUGGCUUAGUACAUUUCUCAAUUUGCAUAUGUUGAAUCCAUAGAGUGAAUGUAGCUUGCUUGGUCAUGAAGAGUGAUCUUUUUGAUGAUUUGUUGUGUUCUAGUUGGCAGUGUGUUAUGAAGGAUUUAUGUGUCUAUUUUCAUUAAUGAGACUGAUCUGUGGUUUUCUCUUUCAUUUGGGUCUUUGGUUUUGGAAUCAGAGUGAUACUUAUUUCCAGGAAUGAGUUUGGAAACACUCUUUCACUGUAAAUUUCAUUGAAGAGUGUGAAGAAUAUGUUACAACCUCCCUGAAGGUAUUGUAGAAUAGUGAUUUCAUCAGGAUCUGGGGUUUUCCUAGUUGGUGAAAUUUUUGUUACUGUCUCAAUUUCAUUGCUUGUUAUUGGAUUGUUCAAAGAAUUUUUAUGUGUUCUUGGUUCAGUUUUGGUAAUUCUGAUGUGUCUAGUAAUCUGCUUAUUCCUUGAAGAUUCUACAGUGUGUUUGAAUACGGUUAUUCAUCAUAGUGUCUUAACUAUCUUCUGGAUUGUAGCAGUGUUCAUUGUAAUUUUGUUUUCAUGUCUAAUUGCAUUGGUGUGAGUCUUUUUCUCUCCUGUUGUUCCCGUAAGUCUGGCUGAGGAUUUAUCUAUUUUGUUUAUUCUUUGAAAGAAUUAACUCUUCAAUUCAUUAAUUCUUUAUAUUGUUUUUUUCUUUUAGUUUCAAUUUCAUUAAUUUCCACUCUGGCCUUUAUGAUUUAUCUCCUUAAACUAGGUUUGAGUUUGAACUGUUGUCCUUUGAGUAUCUUGGGGUUCACCAUUAGAUUAUUUAUUUGCAUUCAUUCUGUUUAUCUCAUGUAAACAUAUGACUGCAGUAUUCCUAGGGCUACUUUCAUAAUGUCCCAUAGAUUUAGCACAUCCCUCCCCCUGACCCCCAUGGUGGUUGCUGUUCAGAAUUUCCCACCUCAGAUUGCUUGGUCUUUGUGUAACCUACAGGGAAGAGGUCAUUCUGGAUCAGUUGGUUCAGCCCGACCCCAUCCCCUGUGUUUCCACAGGGGUGACCUGUGGGCCCUGCAGGUGGACCCUGUGGGUGGGCCCCGCACCCUCUUGGUGUUCAGUGUCUCUCUGCCUAGAGGGUCUUCCCUUGCUGGCAGUGAUUGAUGGGAGGAUGCUGCCAAAAUGCAGCCUCUGUGGUGUUCAGGAGGAGAAUGAGGUGAAGGGGCCAGUGGGGCUCAUUUCUUGAACUGUGUGUACUUACUCUGUGGAUUUAGGGACUCAUAUGCAUACACAUUUUGAAAAUGUAAUAGUUUUGAGUUUAUUGUUAAGAGCACGUAGGACAAGUGUUACAGGCUUUUAGUGUAUAGUAUCACAGUGAUAAAACUUGUCUUAAAACAUGUAUUUUCAAGUUUAGAAAGUGAGACCGUUUAAAGAAAAAUAUUAAAUGAAUGACAGAGAAAAAUUAUGAAGCUAGGAUGAGGUUGACCUAAGUUUGGGGAAUGCUGAGAAGGCAGAUGCAAAAGUGCUGUGAGAGCUGAAAGGUAAAAUAGCUGCUGAUUUUGUCUGGCUGCACAAGAUUGAAUAUUUGAUCAUUAAUAGAAUAGGCGUCCUGCAACACACUGGGUAGCUGGAGUCAUUAUUUAUUCAAAAAUAUUUAUUGAGCUUACCCCUGUUUCCCACCAGAUACUGUUUUGAUGUCUGGGCAUGGGAGCAAAGUCAAAUGGUUUGUGCUCAUAAGAAAAUUACAGGAAGAUAAAAUUCACGAAGUACGUAAAAACUGCACUUUUAAUACAUAGGAGGGACAAGUCUUGCUAACAGUUAAAAAAACUUCUUGCACAACAAUGUAUUCACACUUAAAUCAAAAUUGAGAGAAGUCAGAAUGCUCAGUUCUGACAACUUUUAAGGGACACACUGAUUUUACUGGACACGGAGAAUGUGACUGGACCCUCACGCCUGUGCUUACUCGGUACUGGGUAGUGAGACACCUGUGAUGCCAUGUCACAGCACACCAGGGAGCCCGAUGGGUCUGAAAAGGACUCAGAAUAAGAAUGUGAGAUUCCUAAGUGAGGCUGCAGGAGUAGAGCACAAUUCAGCAGGACCUGGAGAUCCUGGGCCUCUGCUUUGGAACAUGAGUGGCAACUCUGCUUUGGAACAUGAGUGGUAAUUUUCUUUUCAUUUUGCUUAAAACAUUGGGGGAAAAUUAUUUGACUCUUCGGGCUUCAAUACUUACACCCUUCACACCAUAGGACCUGGUGGCCAUUAGGCAUGUUUAGGUAUAAGGUUUUAUUUUCUUUGAUUUUCAAUUUGAGAUGGGGAGGGUUGUGAGUUGGAUAAGUGUCUCCCAAAGGCCUUGUCUUCAGCCUGUUGACCCCAAGGGCUUAAGUUUAGCUUGUUGCUCUUUCAGGGGUGGUGGUGGUGGUAAAACCUUCAAGAAGUGCAGCUUGAUGAGAGGAAGUUAGGUCAUGGGGGAAGGUGCCCUAGCAGGUGAGAUCAGACCCCAGUCUCUAUCUCUCCUUCUUUCUUUGUUUCCCAGCUGCUGUGAGAUGAACAGGCUUCCUCUGCCAUACAUUCCUGCCAUGAUGCUCUGUUCCACCACUGACCUGAGAGACAGAGCGAUGAGCAGGUUGUGCAACCAGCAGGAGCCUGGCCUGCUUUUGCUGAUCCCCGUACAGAGCUGCGUGCACUUACCGGCUGCUGCUGAUGGUGGCGCUGUUCGAUCAUUUUCUUCGCGAGAACAGCAAUUGUUAGUGGACGUGAAUUUAGAGGAUGGGCUGACACCUGAAGAUUUUUCUUUUGGAUUAGUAGAAUCAGUCUCUUCUCAUGGUAAUCUCUUUGCUCUGAGCUACAUAGACCCAGCUCUGCCUAGUUCUAGUUUGCAAAGUUGAGUUUCCUUUCGGAUUUAACAAAAAUUAAAUAAAAUAUUUAUAUAUAUGACGUUAUAUGA